UGAUAUUUUGUUUUCUAAAAAUCAAUAAAUUUUUUCAAAUUUCCUUAAAUUAAUUUUAUUGUUAUUUUCAAAUUUACCUGAGUUAAUAACUUGAAUAGAAGAUGAAAAGUUGCCACAUCACAGUAUUUGAGGUAUCUGAAAGUCUUCUGUUUUGAAUAAAAAAAUAAGCAAAGACAAUUUGCCCUACCACCAAACACCAAACAGCUGUCCACUGUUUUCCUGCUCUUUGGCUUCUCCUCUGUAUUUUGUCAACUGUCAUGUCACCAGUUAUAACUGCCUGCGUCUGCUGUGCGCUAGUUGGUUUCUAGUCGUGGCAGUGAGACUCCACAUUCUGACGUAGGACCCAACUGCCCAGAUGUAUGGUUCAGUUCCUGUAUUGUCCCUUUGCCCACCUUACACCGGGAACAUGUCGUAAUGAAAAAGUCAUUCUUCCCUUCAUCCUCCACCUUCUAAUUGCUUGGAAUAUGGAGUCUUGCUCUGUUGCCCAGGCUAGAGUGUAGUGGCCCAGAUGUUAGCUCACUGCAAACUCCACCUCCUUCCAGAAUUCAAGUGAAUCUCCUGCCUCAGCCUCCCAGGUAGCUGAGAUUACAGGUGUGCACCAUCAGGCUCAGCUAAUUUUUCUGUUUUUAGUGUAUUUUAGUGUAUUUAGU
ensembl:lncRNA